rnacentral:rRNA from 1 species
AACGAACGCUGGCGGCAUGCCUAACACAUGCAAGUCGAACGAGAUCUUCGGGUCUAGUGGCGCACGGGUGCGUAACGCGUGGGAAUCUGCCCUUUGGUUCGGAAUAACAGUUGGAAACGACUGCUAAUACCGGAUGAUGACGAAAGUCCAAAGUUUUAUCGCCAGAGGAUGAGCCCGCGUAGGAUUAGCUAGUUGGUGUGGUAAAGGCGCACCAAGGCGACGAUCCUUAGCUGGUCUGAGAGGAUGAUCAGCCACACUGGGACUGAGACACGGCCCAGACUCCUACGGGAGGCAGGAGUGGGAAUAUUGGACAAUGGGCGAAAGCCUGAUCCAGCAAUGCCGCGUGAGUGAUGAAGGCCUUAGGGUUGUAAAGCUCUUUUACCCGGGAUGAUAAUGACAGUACCGGGAGAAUAAGCUCCGGCUAACUCCGUGCCAGCAGCCGCGGUAA